UCUAAAUCUAACAUCUAGUCUAGGGUUUUUACAUCUACUUCCAAGCUUCAAAGAUCGGAUCUUUAUUCUAUUCAUUCUUCGUCACCGUCUUCAAUUUUAUUUUACAAUCAAUCAAACUCAUGUAUUUGGGACCGUGACGAUUAUUGUGAUUAGGUCUCGUUCGUCGUAAUUGGCCUUAUCGGCCUUGCCGACCAUUCUGCUAUAUCACCACCCAUAUUCUGAGUCCCUUUUUUCUGCAACCAUUUCCUUAUUUUUCUUUAAUUUUCGAUUUUUUGUUGCAAAGGCUCGUGCUUUUUCAAUUGGCCAAUGAUUAAAAUUACAAAAAAGACAAGCAUAUGUCUGAAGUAAUUCGUGUGGAUCAAUCUAAUCUUCUCUAUGAGGCCGAUCAAAUUCCAGAAUUUAGCUGAAAAUUUUAAGUUUUUGUACUUUAUUUCUUCCAUUAUGUCUUGUUUUUGCUGCAUAGACUUAAAUGCGUGAUUUUACUUUUUCCCUCAGAUACCCAAAUGCUUUUCUUGCCAGUGAUGAAGGUUUAUAAUAAAUGGAUGGUUUAGUGCGCUCAAGUUUAAAUGGCCAAUGAUGAUAAAUCCAAAGGCUUGUUUCUCUAAACAUUCGCAGUGGCCGCCUAAGAGCUUUCGCCUUCGCCAGGCUUGAGAGCUUGUGCUGCUUUAAUCCUUCCUUGGAUGUCUGAGGUCACUUAAUUUGCCAAAAUUUGUCAUUAAUAUAGUUUUUGCUGGUUUUUUGGUUAAUGUUACGGUUUCUAGUAAAAUGUUUGUUUUCAGGAUUAUUUUGUUGAAGAAAACACUUACUUCGGUGCGGUAGCCUAUGGUUGGAGCUUUAGUAAUGAAAAUAAUACAUAAGAGGGUACAUUGAAAUCAAGAGGAUUGACAUUAGGCUAUGUUUGGGGCCUGUUGCCGCGUUUUACAUUUUAAAAAAGGAAAAAAUGGGACCUUAUCGAUCGGGCAAAAAUCCCUUUAAAUCUGAACCACCAAUCACAUUAACAUCUUCCACGUGAAGGGAAAAUAGAAAGAUUAUUUUGAAGAAGUUUAUGGUUAAAGGGUGGAACUGAUUAAGCUAAAUAGCCAAUGGCAAUAAUACACAAUUAAUAUGAAGGGAUUUUAAUCAGAGUUUGAGGCUUUGAGCAUGAAAUUAGCCUCUCUUCCAAGAUACGUGCCUCCAACUCCGAACUCCACUGAACAUGCCGAGUAUCUACAAAAAUAAGCAGAAUGUCUUCAUUUUUUGUUAAUUUGUAUUGGUUACUAAAUAUUUUUGACAUUUUUGAAUCGCCAAUUUUAAAAAUUGGAAUUGAAUUAGAAAAGAGGUCAAAAAUUGGUUGGUUGAAUUGAAGAGUAAUCUGACCGGUUUUCCAAAAAUUUUCAAAAUGAAAAAUUUUCAGACGAAAAAUUGUAUGACAACUCUGAUGCGAAAAAUUUUCCUUUUUAGUGUCCCAAAAAAGGAAAUCUCAAGGCGACUAUGAAAUCUCAGGAUCUUGAAACUGGAAGCUCAAGCUGCUAUUUUCUCCUUUUUCAAGCGCAUGUAGUCCCUUUCCUAUACAAUCGCCCCAUUCCAUUCUGCUCUCUUGCAGUGGACAAAGGAGGCGGUGGCAAACAUGUGCGGAUAAGACUUAUAAGUGGUUAUAAGGUGCAAAGGGGAGAGGUGCUCUAGAAUCGAAAGGGAGUUAAAGAGGGAGAAGGAAGGAGACUAAAUUGAAAGAGGUUUGCUGCCAUAAAGGAAGAUGUGAUUUUUAGUUUCGAUUCCUUUUUCUAGAGGAUUAAAUGAGGGCACAGAUUUGGUGCACCAAUGUGUUGAAAAAUCUGUAUGUAAAUUUUUUUUCUUUGGGUCUAUUCGGUUAUAAUUUUUAAGAAUGGGGUGUUUUCUUAAUUUUCUUUAUCUAUUCGGUUAACCUCCUUACCUCCA